CUCUUUCCCUCCGCCCCGCCCGGCGACGGAGUUUCGUGCAACUAUUGGUCCGCUUGCGCGUCCUUCACAGCCAAGUCCCGCCUACGCUGUCGGGCAGCCUCCGCCUCUCCCUCCUCUCCCCGCCCCUACAUCGAAGUUCCAUGCGUGUAUUGCUCAGAAAGCACGUCGCUCCUGUAGGGUCCCGCCCCCGCCCCAGGAGCCUCCACCUUUCUCCGGGCCCGCCUACGCCCCGCCCCGCCGUCCGUGCUCGCGCGCUCAUUGGUUGAGGCGCACGUUCUUCACCGCCGAGUCCUGCUCCCGGCCUACGGCUCUUUCCCCACGGAAACGUCCCUGUUGCCAGCGGGACAGGCUUUUCCUGCCACGGCUGUCCGGGCCCGCCUCGGGGUAACCACCAAGGGCGACCAUGGGGUGACUGUAGGGGGUCCGGCAAGGGGCGCCUUAGCUAGUCUCUGCGGCUACGUCUGCCGCCUCGGGCCCUGCCUAGGAUUAGCGGUUCUGAGCAAGUGUGACGUGGGGUGGGGACCCAGGCUGCCCUGCCCUGUGGCUGGGUUUCUGCGCCCCCUGACCUCAGGCUUGCCCCUGUUCUUAUCCCUGACCCCGGUGGGACGCUUCGCCCCCCUUGGGCCUGCCUUCUGAAGGCUCGGGCUCCCGAAGCGGAGCCAGGAGGUCUGUUCCGAAGACAGGGCCCGAAUAAAGCCGAACUCAGAAGCUGAGUGUCCCGAGGGUCUGAGGGCCCCAGGGCGAGGACGGGCAGCCCCUCAGAGGCUGCUGGAGACCACCCUUCGCUCCUGAGGACCCGGUAGGCAGUCCCCACGGGCAGCGAUCUCCGGGCUCCGUCUGUGUGGCAGACAUGCAGACAUCGUGGCCAGUGUAUGAGGCGGGAUGCUUGUAGACCACAGUGGACUUGCCCUGCUCCAGGCCCGGCCCCCAGGGGCGCAGCCUGGAGCGAGGUCCUAGAUCCACCCUGAAGGAGCUGCGGCGAGGGCUGCUGGGCACAGCAGAGCUGGCACUCAGGCAGCUGUGAGGAGUUGGUCCCUGGCCAGUUGGCACCCCGAGAGGGAGAAGUGCCAAGACCUGUGGAGAGGAGGGCUGGCUUUGGGAAAAAGGGAGAAAACAAGUCCAGGAAGCUCCCGUGUAAGACUGACACCCACGCGUUCCUGUUGUUUGGACACAUUUUUCACUACUUUGAGAAAAAAAAAAACACCUUUGAACCUAGAGCCAAAGGCUUCGAAUGUCCGAAUGUCCACAACAUGGAAAAGUUUUACAAGAGAGAUAGGAAGUAAAGGCACAUCCCUCGGGCACAAUCUUCGGUCUACUACAAGUCCAGGACACCUCCUAGCUGAGGUAUGCAUGGGAAACAAAGUUAUGAGUCAUAAUCAUUUCACAACACAUCUUAAUCACCUAGUGGGCUGAAUGUGGGGGUGUGGUUCCAUAGCUGAACCCCUCUCUAAGGAAAGCUAGACAGCAGCAUAAUACAUGGGACCAGCUAUGCCUGUACACACCUGGCCUGCUGAUUUAACAGCCAGGUCAUGUGUUACCCAGUUGUUCACUCACAUGUGCAGCUACCUGCCCCUGCCCUUGUCUAUCUUAUUAGGCCUUCCCUGCCGUUUUUGAUUACAUUCCCACUUGCAAUCAUUUCGCAUUUGGAAUUUAUGUUUUCAAGAACUUAGUCCAGUUUCCCAGAGCUAAUUUUGGAAAUACCCUCUGCUUAUGAAGAAAAACGAAGGGGUGGGGAAGGUGGACAGCACAACAUUUUGUCUACUGAAAGAAAUGUGCUUUUCGUUCUGCAGUAUAGUUCCUUCUGGGAAGUAUUCGUCCAGCUAGAAAUUCCAUUUCCAGGCCUGAUCCUGGGUCCAGAGACUGGCUCUUGUGUUGACCAGGCUGAGGCUGCUGUUCUGUCACUUGUUAACCUAGGCGUACACACUGAGGGCAUGACCCCUAGUGACACGGAGGCCAUCCUCUGGGGAUAGCUGAGCCCCUCGAUUACCAGAGAGAGGAAUAAUGCGUUAGACUUCACCUAAGAAAGAAAUCAUCUAUUGUGUUGCUCUAUGACGAUCUGAAGAUAUGUUUGUUAGGGUAAUGAUUUUAUUCCAGAAAUAAAAUCCCUAGUAAAAUACAGAAGUGUCAUGUAACUGUUACGUAAGAGAACCACCAGAAGACUAGAAACAUUAUGGCUCUUAAAACAUGAGCUCUAGCCAGGGAUUUAGCUCAGCAGCAUAAGCACUUGCCUGGUAAGUGUGAAGCUGUGAGUUCAAUCCUCCAUACCAGACACAUGAGCUCUACAUUGUAAAUUUCUUGUGUAUGAAUUAUUCAUUUGCUAGUUGUGUUUUGAAGAAUAAUGCACAAGUGUGUAGAAUAAAGAAGUAUUCCAUGACUUACUUCAUUUAAGGCUCUCAAAGUCUUGUUAUAUACAAACUGUCUUUGCAAACAUUGACAUACAAGGUUGGAGAGCACUAACAUGCUACAGCUUCAUCAGAACCAAUAAAGAAAGUAAAUAUGGCCCAGCUAUGGUAGAUUUGGAGUCAUGUGUAAAUACCACAGUGGACUUCCAUUAGUGUAAGUCAUCCUAAAGGGAGACAUUUUUGUUUAAGUGUUCUGUUGUAUCAGAAGCAUUUAGAAAAGAGAAAGAAAUUAAGGUUUAUGUCGCAUUUAGAGGAUAACCUGACUUUUCUGCAGCUCUUGGAUGAAAUUACCAUCCAUUUGGACUCUAAGCACUGAAUACUGGCUUCUGAUCAUGCCCUACUGAGGCCUGCUGUCCUUCACAGCUGCUGGUGGGUGGCAAGGAGUCUGACCUAUUCCAUGUUGGCGUUGGGGGCAUACUCUGCAGAAGAACCCUGGAAGCACCCAGUCCUGAUGCAUCUUAUGUCCAAGGAUGUGGAGAUGCCAUAUACACCACUGGACACAGGAACCUGGACUUGGAAAGAGAGGGCUCCUCCAUACUGGGUGCCUGGUUGGAAGCCAUCAGCACAGUAGAGCUUGACAAGAUAGAGGAGAGGAAGGAAAGAAGGGAACCGCACACUUGCCACAGGAACAGCUUCUGGCAAAUGAAGCCAGUUGGGUUGGUGUGUGGAGAGGUGGGGUAGAAUGACAACCGAGAGUUGAUAACUGCUUUGACUAAGAGGAUUAUUGGUGAUCUGGACUAAGCAGUCCUGUAAACCCACCUCAAAUAGCAUCGCAUCCUUCUCUGCCUCUGUAUUGACUCAGUUCCAUUUUAGCAUUUUACACCUGUUGACACUGUGUGUGCACAUUAUGUGUAUGAUAUUUGUCUGUCUUCUCUCAAGUAAAUAAAGAGGUACCUCGAGAAUAGGCACUCCAUCUUUCUUGUUCCCAAAUAAAUCUCUUACAGCAUGCCCAGCAAACACUGUGAAUAAAUGCUUGUUGGAAAAGCAAA